AUAUUACUCGCUCCAUCCGAAAUUACUUGUCGCAUAAAUGGAUGUAUCUAGAUGUAAUUUUUGUUUUAGAUACAUUCAUUUCUAUCCAUUUAUACGACAAGUAAUUCGGGACGGAAGGAGUAAUAU
rnacentral:pre_miRNA from 1 species